UGUAAACAUUCGAUGAAGUUUUUUACUAUAUAAACUUAUCAGACAAUUGAACAUUUGUUAUAUGCAAAGUUAAAAAAAAAUGGCUGAAAUUCUCAAGUUUGUUUAUAAUGCGACCCUUUUCUUUUCUUUGUAUCUUGUUGUAUAUAAUAGUAAACUAUGGUGUGACACUGAUGCCGAUUGCCAGGAAAAAUUUCCUGGCCCUUCAAAAUACCCUAUCAAGUGCAUGAAGGGUAUUUGUAAGUGCGUGAUCAACUAAGGUUAUCCUCGUAACAAGAUUGAGGAGUGAUAUCGAUGUGUUUGUGUAUGAGGAUAAAGUGGAUAUCUAUUAUCUCACCUAUAUUAUAUUUUUAUUUAAAGUUUGUUUGAUUAUUGUUUAUGUUUCAACUGGGUUCUAGUUACUGAUAUUAUAUUGUGACAUCAGUGCUAAGUUUACUAAUUUGAUCUUUACUUAUUAUCUUAGAAACUGAGAAAACAUUACAUAUUUUAUUUUAUUUUGAGGAUAAUUGUAAUGCUCUAGGAGGCAAAAUGUUUUAUUUUGAGUUAUGACAUUAUAUUUCUUCUUGUCAUGAUGUGAUA